rnacentral:rRNA from 1 species
UAUAAGCAAUUAUACCGUGAAACUGCGAAUGGCUCAUUAAAUCAGUUAUCGUUUAUUUGAUAGUACCUUACUACUUGGAUACCCGUGGUAAUUCUAGAGCUAAUACAUGCUGAAAACCCCGACUUCGGAAGGGGUGUAUUUAUUAGAUAAAAAACCAAUGCCCUUCGGGGCUCUUUGGUGAUUCAUGAUAACUUAACGGAUCGCAUGGCCUUGCGCCGGCGACGGUUCAUUCAAAUUUCUGCCCUAUCAACUUUCGAUGGUAAGGUAUUGGCUUACCAUGGUUUCAACGGGUAACGGGGAAUUAGGGUUCGGUUCCGGAGAGGGAGCCUGAGAAACGGCUACCACAUCCAAGGAAGGCAGCAGGCGCGCAAAUUACCCAAUCCCGACACGGGGAGGUAGUGACAAUAAAUACUGAUACAGGGCUCUUUUGGGUCUUGUAAUUGGAAUGAGUACAAUUUAAACCCCUUAACGAGGAACAAUUGGAGGGCAAGUCUGGUGCCAGCAGCCGCGGUAAUUCCAGCUCCAAUAGCGUAUAUUAAAGUUGUUGCAGUUAAAAAGCUCGUAGUUGAAUCUUGGGUCUGGCUGGCCGGUCCGCCUCACCGCGUGUACUGGUCCGGCCGGGCCUUUCCUUCUGGAGAGCCCCAUGCCCUUCACUGGGUGUGCGGGGGAACCAGGACUUUUACUUUGAAAAAAUUAGAGUGUUCAAAGCAGGCCUUUGCUCGAAUACGUUAGCAUGGAAUAAUAGAAUAGGACGUGCGGUUCUAUUUUGUUGGUUUCUAGAACCGCCGUAAUGAUUAAUAGGGAUAGUCGGGGGCAUCAGUAUUCAAUUGUCAGAGGUGAAAUUCUUAGAUUUAUUGAAGACUAACUACUGCGAAAGCAUUUGCCAAGGAUGUUUUCAUUAAUCAGUGAACGAAAGUUAGGGGAUCGAAGACGAUCAGAUACCGUCGUAGUCUUAACCGUAAACUAUGCCGACUAGGGAUCGGGCGG